CAUAAAGUAGUUUAAUUAAAACAGGAAAUUGCAAAUUUUCAAUUGCUCAGUGUCCCACUGGCCUUUGUGU
rnacentral:tRNA from 1 species